rnacentral:rRNA from 1 species
AUUGAACGCUGGCGGCAGGCCUAACACAUGCAAGUCGAACGAGUGGCAGACGGGUGAGUAAUGUCUGGGAAACUGCCUGAUGGAGGGGGAUAACUACUGGAAACGGUAGCUAAUACCGCAUAACAUCGGGUGUGCCCAGAUGGGAUUAGCUAGUAGGUGGGGUAAAGGGUCACUUAGGCGACGAUCACUAGCUGGUCUGAGAGGAUGACCAGCCACACUGGAACGGAUACACGGUCCAGACGCCUACGGUAGGCAGCAGUGGGGAAUAUUGCACAAGGUGCGCAAGCCUGCUGCGGCCAAGCCGCGUGUAUGAAGAAGGCCUUCGGGUUGUAAAGUACGUUCAGCGGUGAGGCGUUACCCGCAGAAGAAGCACCGGCUAACUCCGUGCCAGCAGCCGCGGUAAUUC